rnacentral:lncRNA from 1 species
UCCAGAGCACUACGCCUGAUCCUGGGCUCCCAGAGUGUAGUGAAUGAAGGAGUCAAUCUAUUUUUUUGAGAAAUGUGGAUUUGAAAAGAAGAGAACUUGGGUUUUGUAACUAAUGAAUAUUCUAAGAUGUAGAGGCUUUUGUUGUUGUGUUUUGCUUUGCCAUUGUGGUCCUUUGUUUUAAAAUCUAAAAUUCCUAAUGUUACCAUAGUGGUAAAGCAAGGUCUUAGUCUGAUACAUCAUCUCUAAACUUAGAUUUUCAGAGUCUGAAGAACAUACAGUCCAUUCAGCCCUCUCCACUGUUGCUGGAACUGGCAAGUCAGUUCACCUGAUGUUAGAGGUGCUCUGUAAGCCCUGUCAGAUAACACCUUAAGGAGGACAAGACCAGAAGGCACAAACUGACUGCUUCAGGGACUCAGGCUGAUGUCACACUUUGUGCCUACUGAC